rnacentral:rRNA from 1 species
UGGGCGUUAAGUUGCAGGGUAUAGACCCGAAACCCGGUGAUCUAGCCAUGGGCAGGUUGAAGGUUGGGUAACACUAACUGGAGGACCGAACCGACUAAUGUUGAAAAAUUAGCGGAUGACUUGUGGCUGGGGGUGAAAGGCCAAUCAAACCGGGAGAUAGCUGGUUCUCCCCGAAAGCUAUUUAGGUAGCGCCUCGUGAAUUCAUCUCCGGGGGUAGAGCACUGUUUCGGCAAGGGGGUCAUCCCGACUUACCAACCCGAUGCAAACUGCGAAUACCGGAGAAUGUUAUCACGGGAGACACACGGCGGGUGCUAACGUCCGUCGUGAAGAGGGAAACAACCCAGACCGCCAGCUAAGGUCCCAAAGUCAUGGUUAAGUGGGAAACGAUGUGGGAAGGCCCAGACAGCCAGGAUGUUGGCUUAGAAGCAGCCAUCAUUUAAAGAAAGCGUAAUAGCUCACUGGUCGAGUCGGCCUGCGCGGAAGAUGUAACGGGGCUAAACCAUGCACCGAAGCUGCGGCAGCGACACUGUGUGUUGUUGGGUAGGGGAGCGUUCUGUAAGCCUGUGAAGGUGUGCUGUGAGGCAUGCUGGAGGUAUCAGAAGUGCGAAUGCUGACAUAAGUAACGAUAAAGCGGGUGAAAAGCCCGCUCGCCGGAAGACCAAGGGUUCCUGUCCAACGUUAAUCGGGGCAGGGUGAGUCGACCCCUAAGGCGAGGCCGAAAGGCGUAGUCGAUGGGAAACAGGUUAAUAUUCCUGUACUUGGUGUUACUGCGAAGGGGGGACGGAGAAGGCUAUGUUGGCCGGGCGACGGUUGUCCCGGUUUAAGCGUGUAGGCUGGUUUUCCAGGCAAAUCCGGAAAAUCAAGGCUGAGGCGUGAUGACGAGGCACUACGGUGCUGAAGCAACAAAUGCCCUGCUUCCAGGAAAAGCCUCUAAGCAUCAGGUAACAUCAAAUCGUACCCCAAACCGACACAGGUGGUCAGGUAGAGAAUACCAAGGCGCUUGAGAGAACUCGGGUGAAGGAACUAGGCAAAAUGGUGCCGUAACUUCGGGAGAAGGCACGCUGAUAUGUAGGUGAAGUCCCUCGCGGAUGGAGCUGAAAUCAGUCGAAGAUACCAGCUGGCUGCAACUGUUUAUUAAAAACACAGCACUGUGCAAACACGAAAGUGGACGUAUACGGUGUGACGCCUGCCCGGUGCCGGAAGGUUAAUUGAUGGGGUCAGCGCAAGCGAAGCUCUUGAUCGAAGCCCCGGUAAACGGCGGCCGUAACUAUAACGGUCCUAAGGUAGCGAAAUUCCUUGUCGGGUAAGUUCCGACCUGCACGAAUGGCGUAAUGAUGGCCAGGCUGUCUCCACCCGAGACUCAGUGAAAUUGAACUCGCUGUGAAGAUGCAGUGUACCCGCGGCAAGACGGAAAGACCCCGUGAACCUUUACUAUAGCUUGACACUGAACAUUGAGCCUUGAUGUGUAGGAUAGGUGGGAGGCUUUGAAGUGUGGACGCCAGUCUGCAUGGAGCCGACCUUGAAAUACCACCCUUUAAUGUUUGAUGUUCUAACGUGGACCCGUGAUCCGGGUUGCGGACAGUGUCUGGUGGGUAGUUUGACUGGGGCGGUCUCCUCCUAAAGAGUAACGGAGGAGCACGAAGGUUGGCUAAUCCUGGUCGGACAUCAGGAGGUUAGUGCAAUGGCAUAAGCCAGCUUGACUGCGAGCGUGACGGCGCGAGCAGGUGCGAAAGCAGGUCAUAGUGAUCCGGUGGUUCUGAAUGGAAGGGCCAUCGCUCAACGGAUAAAAGGUACUCCGGGGAUAACAGGCUGAUACCGCCCAAGAGUUCAUAUCGACGGCGGUGUUUGGCACCUCGAUGUCGGCUCAUCACAUCCUGGGGCUGAAGUAGGUCCCAAGGGUAUGGCUGUUCGCCAUUUAAAGUGGUACGCGAGCUGGGUUUAGAACGUCGUGAGACAGUUCGGUCCCUAUCUGCCGUGGGCGCUGGAGAACUGAGGGGGGCUGCUCCUAGUACGAGAGGACCGGAGUGGACGCAUCACUGGUGUUCGGGUUGUCAUGCCAAUGGCACUGCCCGGUAGCUAAAUGCGGAAGAGAUAAGUGCUGAAAGCAUCUAAGCACGAAACUUGCCCCGAGAUGAGUUCUCCCUGACCCUUUAAGGGUCCUGAAGGAACGUUGAAGACGACGACGUUGAUAGGCCGGGUGUGUAAGCGCAGCGAUGCGUUGAGCUAACCGGUACUAAUGAACCGUGAGGCUUAACCUUACAACGCCGAAGGUGUUU